CUACAGAACAAUGCCAUGCAGAAACAAAGGUUCAAGUCCACGCACAUACACAAAUGCUCAAGCCCAUCAAUUCAUUCCCAGCUCUGUCUGCUUUCUAAAUAGUCUACAUGGCCCUUUUGGUAUUCACUCUUUGUGAAUAUAUAUUUUUUAAAUUUAUAUUAGCUUUCAGUUCUCCCCUGAGCAGCGCAGAGCGUUCCCACGCUUUAGUGCACCCUCAGCUUUGUGUCCCAGGGAGAGACGUGUCUCACCUUGAAGAAGAGCCAAAGCCACGUGACUUUCCCAAUCAAGUGGCCCCUUUGGAAUUCUUCCCUGACAGAGGCGCGCACUCCUUCCUCUUUGGUUACCUGGUUCAGCACAGAGAUAUAAGGCCCACAGAACUUCAGAAACAGGGUUUGAAGAUGACUCUGUUUCUUGGACUCAUCCUUUCUUCUCUCUGCAGAUUUCCCCUUUCAUGGCAUUAAACUCUUUUGAAAAAAAUUAUGUAUCCAACUUGACACAGUUUCCAGGCAAGAAUGGGAUAGGGUGUGGAAGAUGAAUGUUAAAAGCCCUAAAUCCCUCUCCUGAUGUUCAAAGAAAUGGAAAUCCAGAUUCUCAGCAGCAUCAGAGAUUAGGGGCGUCUGUGUUCCAAGCAGCACAGUUACCUAGGCCUGCAACGGGCUCGCUGCAGUCCUGGGACUAGCUCUUAGGGGAAGAAAGCUUGCAGGAGCUGGCAACUGGCUGGGUCUUGAAAGCCUGUAUGACCCUGGAGGUGUAUCCAGAUUUAUUUGGAUUGCCAAUAAGGAUGUAAUUUUUUUCAGGUCAGGGUUCUCCCUGUUAACUCAUUGGCACCACAGUAAAGUCUAUACAGAGACUUUGGUUUGGGGUUCCUGGUUGGGGUUCUAACAUUAGAAAUUGGUGUAGCUCUCAUGGAGAAACAUCUUUAGUGCAUCUGAGCCAAUUUUAGAUGACAUCAUACAUUCUGCCUCCCUUCUGUUUGCCCUGUUGAUAUAUGCCCAAAACUAUUCAACACACAACGGUCUUAUUUGCCUUUAAUCUAUUCUGGAAUUACCCAAUAUGCCCCAAAUAUUUCUAUGCACAUGAGAAUCCAAGGUUUUAGAAACCUGGCAUGCUUAUAAUUACUGCUGACAGUCCCUCAUAGGGCUGAAAGCAUCAUAAAAGGGGAAACACACGAGAGAAAGUUCCCUGCUGAAAAAUCUGAUGGGAGGGGACGAGUGUGUGGAACACAAACAUUACCACCCAAAAGUGAAGGCAGAACAAAAUUAAGCAUGUUUAGACCUGGAUUUGAGCCAAUCCAACAUAAGGAAAUGUUUUUUUAAGUAGCGUUGCUUUUAGAAUCUGUGAAUUUUACUCUUGCAUGAAGAUGAGUGCAGUACUGUCUUCAAAAUGAUUGUAGAAUUUCUUGGUAGCUUUACACCGAAAAAUGUAACUAAAUACCAGACAUCCUUGACCAUACAGCUGGAACCUUGGCAGCAGCAGAUCUAUUUAAUUGUACAAAUGUGUGUAAGGAUUAUUUUUAGUGUACUAAUAAAUUAAAAACAAAGCUACUCUGUCCUCUUUGGUCAUUGCUGUUGAAUCAUUCCAGUCCCAGGUUAUUUUUGUGCCACUUGGAAGACGAGUAUUUCUAUAGGUAACUACAAAUUCUAUCCUAUCUUUGUAAGAGGAGCUGUGUAAGAUUUUUCAUUUAAAGGGACAAUUUACUUCAUUAUUUAUCUCAUUUUUUGUUAUAGCAUUGUAUUUUUUUCCCAAUUUUUCUUUGCACAUUUCAAUAUGCAUGGUUUAAAAACCAUUAUCCUCUCUACCUUUUGUACAGUAAGGUCUCAUUUUCAAACUGUAUAGUUUCAUUUUAUUGUUUUGCAUUGUCAGUUAUAUACGGUAUAAAGUUGCUAUGCACAGAGCUUUUUGUAAAGACAGCUUUUUUGUUUACUGUUUUUAAUGGUCUUACUUAUGAAAGAAUAUCUUGUUUGUAAAAUGAAUAUGUCUACUUCAGUUUUAAACUUUAAAUUAUCCUAACAAAAAAUAAAAUUUUUGUACUGUAAAAA
rnacentral:lncRNA from 1 species